rnacentral:rRNA from 1 species
UGGGGAAUAUUGGACAAUGGGCGCAAGCCUGAUCCAGCAAUGCCGCGUGAGUGAUGAAGGCCUUAGGGUUGUAAAGCUCUUUCGCACGCGACGAUGAUGACGGUAGCGUGAGAAGAAGCCCCGGCUAACUUCGUGCCAGCAGCCGCGGUAAUACGAAGGGGGCGAGCGUUGUUCGGAAUUACUGGGCGUAAAGGGCGCGCAGGCGGCCAUAGAAGUCAGGCGUGAAAGCCCCGGGCUUAACCUGGGAAAUGCGUUUGAGACUCUAAGGCUUGAGUUCGGGAGAGGUGAGUGGAAUUCCCAGUGUAGAGGUGAAAUUCGUAGAUAUUGGGAAGAACACCGGUGGCGAAGGCGGCUCACUGGACCGAUACUGACGCUGAGGCGCGAAAGCGUGGGGAGCAAACAGGAUUAGAUACCCCUGUAGUCC